UCACUUACCUGGACGGGGUCUAUGAGUGAUCAAUAAGGCUCAUGGCCUAGAUCAAUGGCUCGCAUUGCACUUUAUGAGUGUGUUGAUCUACCAUCUCUCCUUUGAAGAAGAGUGGACGUCAUAAUUUAUGAUAGAGGGGGUACACGUUCGUGCGGCCUCUGC